rnacentral:snoRNA from 1 species
GCUGCCCUGCUGAACUCAGGAUGUUGGGGCAGAGAGGAAGCAGUUAUUUCUACACUCAGUGCUCAGAGCAGUGGGCACUAAGGAUGGCUUAUAGCCAGACAUC